rnacentral:rRNA from 1 species
GCUUGCACCAAUUUGAAGAGCAGCGAACGGGUGAGUAACGCGUGGGGAAUCUGCCUUUGAGCGGGGGACAACAUUUGGAAACGAAUGCUAAUACCGCAUAACAACUUUAAACAUAAGUUUUAAGUUUGAAAGAUGCAAUUGCAUCACUCAAAGAUGAUCCCGCGUUGUAUUAGCUAGUUGGUGAGGUAAAGGCUCACCAAGGCGAUGAUACAUAGCCGACCUGAGAGGGUGAUCGGCCACAUUGGGACUGAGACACGGCCCAAACUCCUACGGGAGGCAGCAGUAGGGAAUCUUCGGCAAUGGACGAAAGUCUGACCGAGCAACGCCGCGUGAGUGAAGAAGGUUUUCGGAUCGUAAAACUCUGUUGGUAGAGAAGAACGUUGGUGAGAGUGGAAAGCUCAUCAAGUGACGGUAACUACCCAGAAAGGGACGGCUAACUACGUGCCAGCAGCCGCGGUAAUACGUAGGUCCCGAGCGUUGUCCGGAUUUAUUGGGCGUAAAGCGAGCGCAGGUGGUUUAUUAAGUCUGGUGUAAAAGGCAGUGGCUCAACCAUUGUAUGCAUUGGAAACUGGUAGACUUGAGUGCAGGAGAGGAGAGUGGAAUUCCAUGUGUAGCGGUGAAAUGCGUAGAUAUAUGGAGGAACACCGGUGGCGAAAGCGGCUCUCUGGCCUGUAACUGACACUGAGGCUCGAAAGCGUGGGGAG